GCCCUGCUAGCUCAGUGGUAGAGCGUCGCACUCGUAUCUCCAUCUCCCCGCCGCGUGAUUGCAAUGGGAGAUAACUACGAUGCGAAGGUCAGUCGUUCAAGUCGGCUGUGGGGCA
rnacentral:tRNA from 1 species